rnacentral:snRNA from 1 species
GUGCUCACUUCGGCAGCACAUAUUCUAAAAUUGGAAUGAUACAGAGAUUAGCAUGGCCCCUGCACAAGCAUGACGUGCGGUGUCGUGAAGCGUUGCAUAUUUUU